ensembl:lncRNA
CAAAGGGCUCAACGUCUGGAAGAUGCUGGGAAAGCUGGCUGGAAGCUCCCCCCCUCCCGUGGUCACGUUUCCUCAGCACAAUGGAAGUCUCCCACUGUCACACUGAAUAGAACCAGGAGCGUGGGAUGGUUCAGGGUGGAGACAAUAACUUCGCUCCGGCAAAGGUGCAGGAAAGCAAGGCCAGGCGGAUCACUUAAAACUGUACUACUGAGAGAGUUACCAAAGCCCAGACUUGGAAAGGAUCUUAAAAGCAUGUGGCUCCAGUUGGGUGCUGGAAUGCACUCUCCAGCAUCUCUGACAGAUGGCCAUUCAGCCUCCGCUGAGACCUCCAGUGACUGGUCAGUCACCGCUGACCACAGAGCCUUCCGAAGGCUCUUGGUUCUUCUGCAGAGCUAUCUCAAGUCUCUUUUUCUCCAAGCUAAAUACUCUCAUGAAGUCCUUGUCACUGUUUUUAAUAGUCUGCACCCCUCAUCAGGAUUGAGCAUGCUCAUCCGAAUGUUAAACGUUAUCAACAUUCUUAAAGUUUCCGACAAUAGCAAAUAUAAUAUGGUAUGACUCUCACCAAUGUUUUCUCCUUCUGUAGCCUAAAUGUCUCAAUUUUUUUCCCCCUGUGUUUUCUUUGGGUGGUUCCAUCCCACUUUCUUGACUCACAGUAAGCUUAGUCAACUGAAACUCUUACAUCUUUCCCAUCCUGAACUUGUAUACUUUUUAUUUAUUUAUUUUUCAAUCCAAAGGGAGGACUUCGUGUUGUUCCCUGGUGAAUUUCUAAGAUCCAGGUUUUGUUCUAGUCUCCUAGAUCUUUUCGGAUCCAGAACCUGUCACUCAAGCCAUUAGCUCUCCAAAUUCGUGCCAUCCACCAAUUUUAUCAGUAAGGCCUCUAACUUCCCAUCGAAGCUGUAUUAAAAAUGUUUCACAUGGCAAAGAUCCAAUGUUGGCCUCCGCCUGCCAGGCUAAUUUGGGCUCCCUCAGGUUUGGUUAUUUAGCCUGUUUUAGGAGAAGUCACGUUUCUUUUUACCACUUAUAUUUAUGUGUUCCACAUUAGAAAACUGAUAUUCCAAUUCUAAAAUGAUUCCAUUAAAAAAAACAGGGCGCCACUGGUUUAGAAAGGUACUAGUAACCUCUAGAUUUCUCUCUCUGCCACACAACUUGAUGAAAAUAAAUUAAGCUAGUGUCUCUCAUUUUUCAUCCCUCUGUAAGGCCAAUCUUUGUAAAGGAAAAAGAGUGUUGAAUGCUCAACACUUUGAAGAUAAGUAAAUGAUGCAUACUGAAGGAAAUGAAGAAAAAACCAAACUCCAAGAACCCUGGACUGAGAAGUAAGGCAAAGGGACAGAUCUGAGCGCUAGCAUCACACUGUAGCUCCCUGAGGGCAAGCACAGGCCUUGCUCAUCUGGGUUCCAGAUUAGCUGGAAGGUAGUGGGCGCUCAACAUGCCUUUAAUGAACUGAACUGGCUCCCUCUAGUGGCUGGGUUUACAACAUUUUUUUUUUAGCGUCACCUCUUUUAUACUAUUCCUUUUCUAUGGGGAGAAAUGCAAGUCGACGUGAGGAUGGGCAGGGUCCACUGCAUUAAAUGGCCUUUGCCUAGGCUGCAAGGGGGCACAAUUUCUUUCUUAAGUAAGUGAAAGUAAAAAAGAAAACUAUUUCUGUUUGGAGCUUUGUUGAUUUUGUGAGAAAAACAUGUAACAGCUUUAAUUCAUUUAAUUUUAAAAUUCAGAGCAGAGAAUGCGGCAAUCUAGUACAUAGGGGGGAAAAGCAGUAUGAAAAUGUAAAUUUCAGUUCUGCAUUAUGGCCAUUUAAGGGAACAGGGAGAGGAUGGACAAGGAGAUGGCAGAUAACGGAGAGGAGAGGCUGAAACAAUGGGGUGCCAAGAAAGGGGGAGGAGGCAUGCCCGGAGGGAGAGAGUCAUCAGAAGGUCCCACCCAGGAAAGUUAUCACUGGAAAUACUAAAGGACUGGAUCAUAUGUGUUGUGCUAAAGACAAAGGCAUUUAGAUAUUGAUAUAAGAAACAAGGAUAAUUUCCUAGUAAAAGUUGGAAUUCUAAGACAAAUAAGUUGAUAAAACCCCUGUUCUAGUAAUUUAGAACCUCUUCAGAGAUGAGUGAAUUCCAAGAAUAGCUCAACUAUUUGUUGGAAGAUAAAAAAGACCCCUAAUUAAGGUAUUUUUUCCCCCUGAAGACAUGAGAUUGAUCCACUUGCUCCCACCCAGUCCCACAACUACAUGACGGCCACUCUCACAGGAGGAUCGCUGCCCUUUUGGGUAGUGUGUGGCGGCCACAGGACAAUGUUAGGUGUCAAGGAGACAAAGCCAUCAUUGACCUAGCCCAGUCGUGAGAAUCCCAAGUUAAGGACCUGGGAUGUUCACCUCCAGCCGUAUGGAGAACUCCCUUUUAGGAUGGAGAGCUCACUCAUGUAUGGUGGUCCAUGCCUCUCCUGGGCAGCUUCGAUGGCUAGAAGCUUUUCCCUUAAUUUGAGCUGACAUCAGCUUUUCUGCUCUUCCACCCAUUGAUCUUGCUCUGCCCUUCAGCAUGAAAGAAAGCAUCUUUUAAGAAAUCCUUCCAAUGAUUGGCUAGCUCAGCAAGAUCUGAGAGCAGCCAUACAAAGGAAAAACUCCCCUGAGACAGGAAGCAAAAGCAAGUGGUGAGAGGGAGAGAGUGGGCCCUGGGCGGGACACCACACGCUUGGCUUCUCUGGUCUCCUUUUGCUUGGUGGGCAUGGGCUCCUGGGCCUCAGCCCAGUGGCUUAUUGCACAAGUUCCAUAAAAUCAGGAGAGAUGGGGGUGCUUCUGGGAAGUGAUGGCUGGGGCUCUCUAGGAAGAGAAGGACACCCACAGAAAGGCCAGCUAGAGUUUCUGAAAACCCUAGGGUCGUGGGAAGCUGAUGGAGUGCAUCAGACCAGGCUGGUGUCUCUUCCAAAAGCCCCAAAUGAUCAUCAGAUUAGCAGAUUUUCAGGGGAAAGGGCUCACGGCAGAAACUCAAAUGCUGAGAAUCCAGGCGUGCUUUCAAAGGGAAACAGGCCAGGGAGCAUGGUACUAAAUAAGAUAAAUUUUCUACAAGCUUACGAUUUGUUUAGCCUGAUAGUUUUCUUAAUGAGUGAGUGAAAUAAUAUAUCUAAAAUACAUAUAUAUAUAUAUUUCUUCUUCUUAAUUGGUUUUUCAG